UCCAGGCAGGUGGGACAUUUUAGUUUGGGAACAUGGUCAGCAUGGGCUGGUUGGACCAAAGGGUCUGUUUGUAUACUGUGUGACUCUUUGUUCCUCCCUUGAGCUGGUCCUUUACAACGGAGUUUCUUCACAAUUUGCUGUUCUGAGUAUCUCACUCAUGUUGUUUGCCACAUUUUGUUUGACAGCAUUACUGUGAGGCACCUCAGUCGAUGUGCUUUGUGUUGCCUAACAGAAAUGCAUUGUACUGCUUUUUCACCCAGGAAUGAGCCUCUGUGUCUCAGCCUUGUUACAGGCAAGAAUGUUGCCAAUUUCUGGUCAGUUUGAGCAGCAUAUUCUAUGGUCUGUUGUUGCUAAUUGACAAGAGGGUUAUCUUCCUCUUUAUAGGAGGAAGAGGAGGAGGAUUUCAACGAUGGAGAAUUAGACGAGGAGGAGGAGGAGGAUGAACAAACAGGGAUCAAAGGACAGAAGAGGAAACGAGAUCCUGAGGAUGAAGGCGAAGAAGAUGACUAAAUUUUGGAUGUUAACCUACUGUGAUUUUGUUUUUAUCUUUUUUUUUCGCUCCCUCCCUCCCCCACCCCACCCCAAAUUCCCUCCUGCCCCAAUGUUGCUGUGGGAAUGAUGAGCUGGAGGAAAACUCCUGUUACUGCUGCUCAGGGAUGUUUAAUUUUUAUUUUUAUUUUCGUUGAUGUUUGGUAUUGGUGAGUUUGGAUGAGUUACAAGUAUGGGCAAGGCCCAACAUUGAGUCAUAUUGUCUCUUUUUUUUAAACAAAAACUGCAAUGAUUUUGGGUGGGUGGAGCAGCCAUUAAAAAUUCAUAUCCGACAUCAUUGCCACAGCAACAUGUACCAAAUGGCACAUUUGAAAUGCAACAACAGAAGAGGGGGUGUGUGUGUGUAUUUACUGUGCUGUAAAUGGCUGCCACUUUUGGAAGUGAAGCUGAUUUAAUUUUCUCCCUUUUUUGUGAAAUGCCUCCUUCCUCCCCAUCACUCUGUUUCCCAUCUUGUUUCUCUCCCCUGCCCCCAGAAUCCUUCUCUCAGACCCCAUUGGUGUGAAUCCAUGUUUUUUUUUCUAAAUGGUGACCAAAUAUCAUUCAUCUUGCCCACAUCCCAUGUCCUACACACCCAUAUUCCUCAUCUUGUCGCUCCCCUCCACCCCCCCCCAUUCCCCAUCCUGUCUUUCCUCUUUCUCAGCACCAUUCCCCAUCAUGUCACUCCUCUCCAACCCAGUUCCCCGGUCCUGUCCCUGCUUUCCCUACUCACACCCAGUUUCCCAUCCUAACCUACAGCUUGCCUUCUGAAAAUGGCACCCAUUUGAGUUAUAGUCCUAAUCAAUGAUUGGUAGUGUAAUACAGUUGUAAUAAACAAAAAUUACAUUUGAAACUCUGUAACCCAGCAACUGUGUACUAUUUUUUUUUUGGGUCUGUAAAAUAUAACCUGAUACCAUAAAGGAGGAUUUAUUUCCUCCUUGAGCUGUACACUUUGACUUUUUUUACCAGCCUCAUUAUGCAGAAGAAUAAAUCUAGCACGUAGUGUUGAAUGGGCAUGUUUUCAUACAUUCGAGGGCAUCUUACUAAUACAGAAUUGUAUUUUCUUAUCUUGGUGAAGUCAGUAAAAUUGACUUGGGGUGGGAAAAAUGCCUAGUGAAUGUACAGAGUUUUACUUUCAUAUUUGGGGUGACUGUAUUCCUAGUCAAUAUUUCAUCUGUACAAAAGAUCACCACAGUUUUUUCUCAGCAAAGCCAAACCUUUAGUUUUGUGUCUGUUUUUUGUCAUUCAACAGUUUCAAUAAAUCCUUUUUUUUAUAUACAA